GGCUUACGGUGGAUACCUAGGCACCUAGAGACGAGGAAGGGCAUAGUAAGCAACAAAAUGCUUCGAGGUGUUAAAAAUAAACGUAGAUCUGGAGAUUCCUGAAUAGGUUAACCUUUUGAAUUGUUACUGAAUCCAUGGGCAGACAAGAGACAACCUGGCAAACUGAAACAUCUUAGUAGCCGGAGGAAAAAAAAGCAAAAACGAUUCCCAUAGUAGCGACGAGCGAAAUGGAAGCAGCCUAAACUGUGAAAAUAGGGUUGUGGGAGAGCAAUAAAAGUGUUGUGCUGCUAGGCGAAGUGGUGAAGUGUCGAACCCUGAAUGGCGAUAGUCUAGUAGCCGAAAGCAUCACUAGCUUACACUCUGACUUGAGUAGCAUAAGACACGUGGAAUCCCGUGUGAAUCAGCAAGGACCACCUUACAAGGAUAAAUACUCCUGGAUGACCGCUAGCAAAGUAGUAUUGUUAGGAAAUGGUGAAAAGAACCUCCGUCGGGGAGUGAAACAGAACAUGAAAUCGUAAACU
rfam:Gossypium raimondii Chr06_contig_381, whole genome shotgun sequence.